AACGCGAAGAACCUUACCUGGGCUCGAAAUGUUGUGGACCGGGGUAGAAAUAUCCCUUCCCCGCAAGGGGCCGCAAUAUAGGUGCUGCAUGGCUGUCGUCAGCUCGUGUCGUGAGAUGUUGGGUUAAGUCCCGCAACGAGCGCAACCCUUAUCUUCAGUUGCUACCAUUUAGUUGAGCACUCUGACGAAACCGCCUCGGAUAACGGGGAGGAAGGUGGGGAUGACGUCAAGUCCUCAUGGCCUUUAUGUCCAGGGCUACACACGUGCUACAAUGGCCGGUACAAACCGUCGCAAACCCGCGAGGGGGAGCUAAUCGGAAAAAGCCGUCCUCAGUUCGGAUUGCAGUCUGCAACUCGACUGCAUGAAGCUGGAAUCGCUAGUAAUCGCGGAUCAGAACGCCGCGGUGAAUACGUUCCCGGGCCUUGUA
rnacentral:rRNA from 1 species